rnacentral:rRNA from 1 species
GUGAGGAAUUUUGGACAAUGGGCGCAAGCCUGAUCCAGCAAUGCCGCGUGCAGGAAGAAGGCCUUCGGGUUGUAAACUGCUUUUGUACGGAACGAAACGGUCCUGGCUAAUAUCCGGGGCUAAUGACGGUACCGUAAGAAUAAGCACCGGCUAACUACGUGCCAGCAGCCGCGGUAAUACGUAGGGUGCGAGCGUUAAUCGGAAUUACUGGGCGUAAAGCGUGCGCAGGCGGUGCUGUAAGACAGGCGUGAAAUCCCCGGGCUCAACCUGGGAAUUGCGAUUGUGACUGCAGUGCGGGCGUGCGGGAGAGGGGGAUGGAAUUCCGAGUGUAGCAGUGAAAUGCGUAGAUAUGCGGAGGAACACCGAUGGCGAAGGCAAUCCCCUGGGCCUGCACUGACGCUCAUGCACGAAAGCGUGGGGAGCAAACAGGAUUAGAUACCCUUGUAGUCC